GGACUACCGGGGUAUCUAAUCCUGUUUGAUCCCCACGCUUUCGUGCCUCAGCGUCAAUCACACCAUAGUAAGCUGCCUUCGCAAUCGGUGUUCUGUGACAUAUCUAUGCAUUUCACCGCUACUUGUCACAUUCCGCCUACCUCUAGUGUAUUCAAGCUCAUCAGUAUCAAGGGCACUGCGAUGGUUGAGCCACCGUCUUUCACCCCUGACUUAAUAAGCCGCCUACGCACCCUUUAAACCCAAUAAAUCCGGAUAACGCUUGGAUCCUCCGUAUUACCGCGGCUGCUGGCAC
rnacentral:rRNA from 1 species